AAAACCCUUCAACCUGCCACGGCCCCUCCUCCUCGGCUGAGAACUGGCAUGCCUAUGCUGCUACUACGACAGCAAAACAGAGAAAGAAAAAUUGGAUCACAGUUUGUUUCCUGAGGACCAUUCCAGCAGGACUUUGAGGACGUGCUGUUAAAAUCUUCCAUCAGGUGUCCAGGCCCUGCCCUGGGAUCUGACUGUUACAUCUGGAGAGGGGCCGGGGAAUCUGAUUUCUAACAAGGAGACUUCUUAUUGAUGAGCAAAGAUUUGGGGAGGCAUGGAAGAACAUGAGAGAAGGGAAAAGAAAGCAUGGAGAGAAGACCUGUCCUU